rnacentral:rRNA from 1 species
ACCGGGCGUUAAGUUGCAGGGUAUAGACCCGAAACCCGGUGAUCUAGCCAUGGGCAGGUUGAAGGUUGGGUAACACUAACUGGAGGACCGAACCGACUAAUGUUGAAAAAUUAGCGGAUGACCUGUGGCUGGGGGUGAAAGGCCAAUCAAACCGGGAGAUAGCUGGUUCUCCCCGAAAGCUAUUUAGGUAGCGCCUCGUGAAUUCAUCUCCGGGGGUAGAGCACUGUUUCGGCUAGGGGGCCAUCCCGGCUUACCAACCCGAUGCAAACUGCGAAUACCGGAGAAUGUUAUCACGGGAGACACACGGCGGGUGCUAACGUCCGUCGUGAAGAGGGAAACAACCCAGACCGCCAGCUAAGGUCCCAAAGUCAUGGUUAAGUGGGAAACGAUGUGGGAAGGCCCAGACAGCCAGGAUGUUGGCUUAGAAGCAGCCAUCAUUUAAAGAAAGCGUAAUAGCUCACUGGUCGAGUCGGCCUGCGCGGAAGAUGUAACGGGGCUAAACCAUGCACCGAAGCUGCGGCAGCGACGCUGAUGCGUUGUUGGGUAGGGGAGCGUUCUGUAAGCCUGCGAAGGUGGCCUGUGAGGGUUGCUGGAGGUAUCAGAAGUGCGAAUGCUGACAUAAGUAACGAUAAAGCGGGUGAAAAGCCCGCUCGCCGGAAGACCAAGGGUUCCUGUCCAACGUUAAUCGGGGCAGGGUGAGUCGACCCCUAAGGCGAGGCCGAAAGGCGUAGUCGAUGGGAAACGGGUUAAUAUUCCCGUACUUGGUGUUACUGCGAAGGGGGGACGGAGAAGGCUAUGUUGGCCGGGCGACGGUU